UACGUAGGGGGCGAGCGUUGUCCGGAAUCAUUGGGCGUAAAGAGCGCGCAGGCGGCCCGGCAAGUCGGGUGUGAAAUCCCGGGGCUCAACCCCGGGACUGCAUUCGAUACUGUCGGGCUAGAGGUAGGUAGGGGAGAUCGGAAUUCCUGGUGUAGCGGUGAAAUGCGCAGAUAUCAGGAGGAACACCGGUGGCGAAGGCGGAUCUCUGGGCCUUACCUGACGCUCAGGCGCGAAAGCUAGGGGAGCGAACAGG
rnacentral:rRNA from 1 species